UUGACCUCGGAUCAGGUAGGACUACCCGCUGAACUUAAGCAUAUCAAUAAGCGGAGGAAAAGAAACCAACAGGGAUUGCCCCAGUAACGGCGAGUGAAGCGGCAACAGCUCAGAUUUGGAAUCUGGCCCCCAGGGCCCGAGUUGUAAUCUGGAGAGGAUGCUUCUGGCGCGGCGCCUUCCGAGUUCCCUGGAACGGGACGCCGGAGAGGGUGAGAGCCCCGUACGGUUGGACGCCUAGCCUUUGUGAAGCUCCUUCGACGAGUCGAGUAGUUUGGGAAUGCUGCUCAAAAUGGGAGGUAAAUUUCUUCUAAAGCUAAAUACCGGCCAGAGACCGAUAGCGCACAAGUAGAGUGAUCGAAAGAUGAAAAGCACUUUGAAAAGAGGGUCAAACAGUACGUGAAAUUGUUGAAAGGGAAGCGCCCGUGGCCAGACUUGUGCCCCGCGGACCACCCGGCGCCCUCAGCGCCGGUGCACUCCGCGGGGCGCAGGCCAGCAUCGGUUUUCCUAGGGGGAUAAAGGCGGCGGGAACGUGGCUCCUUCGGGAGUGUUAUAGCCCGUCGUGCCAUGCCCCUGGGGGGACCGAGGACCGCGCUUCGGCAAGGAUGCUGGCGUAAUGGCCACCGGCGA
rnacentral:rRNA from 1 species